AUGACCCCUGGCGGCAGGUUUAACACAUGCAACUCGAGCGGUAGAGAGAAGCUUGCUUCUCUUGAGUAGCGGCGGACGGGUGAGUAAUGCCUAGGAAUCUGCCUGGUAGUGGGGGAUAACGUUCGGAAACGAACGCUAAUACCGCAUACGUCCUACGGGAGAAAGCAGGGGACCUUCGGGCCUUGCGCUAUCAGAUGAGCCUAGGUCGGAUUAGCUAGUUGGUGAGGUAAUGGCUCACCAAGGCGACGAUCCGUAACUGGUCUGAGAGGAUGAUCAGUCACACUGGAACUGAGACACGGUCCAGACUCCUACGGGAGGCAGCAGUGGGGAAUAUUGGACAAUGGGCGAAAGCCUGAUCCAGCCAUGCCGCGUGUGUGAAGAAGGUCUUCGGAUUGUAAAGCACUUUAAGUUGGGAGGAAGGGCAUUAACCUAAUACGUUAGUGUUUUGACGUUACCGACAGAAUAAGCACCGGCUAACUCUGUGCCAGCAGCCGCGGUAAUACAGAGGGUGCAGGCGUUAAUCGGAAUUACUGGGCGUAAAGCGCGCGUAGGUGGUUUGUUAAGUUGGAUGUGAAAUCCCCGGGCUCAACCUGGGAACUGC
rnacentral:rRNA from 1 species